AGCUGAAGGUCGAGAGGAUAAAAAUGACACCACAUAGAGGAGUUUCCAUUUUAUCCCAGUGGCAAAAAUUUCAUUGCUCCCUGUAUUUGUCCCAUGACUCUCUCAUUCUAAGAACAGUCUUAGAGGGACUCUUCAACCUACAAAGCACCCUGCUAGAUACUCUCAUUGUCCCACUGUGCUCUUGUUCUGCUUGCCUGAUUAAAGCACUUGAUCAAUUCAUCA
rnacentral:lncRNA from 1 species